UUACCUACGGGGGGCAGCAGUGAGGAAUAUUGGUCAAUGGCCGCAGGGCUGAACCAGCCAAGUCGCGUGAGGGAUGACGGUCCUAUGGAUUGUAAACCUCUUUUGUCAGGGAGCAAAGGGCGCCACGUGUGGCGUUUUGCGAGUACCUGAAGAAAAAGCAUCGGCUAACUCCGUGCCAGCAGCCGCGGUAGUACGGAGGAUGCGAGCGUUAUCCGGAUUUAUUGGGUUUAAAGGGUGCGUAGGCGGACUGUUAAGUCAGCGGUAAAAGCCCGGGGCUCAACCCCUGCGAGCCGUUGAAACUGGCU
rnacentral:rRNA from 1 species